rnacentral:lncRNA from 10 species
AUAUCAAGUGGACAAUGCCACAUUGUGUUCUGACUUUGAAGCUGAUUGGUUUGGCUGUUGACUACUUUGACGGAGGGAAAGAUCAGAAUUCCUUGUCCUCUGAGCAACAGAAAUAUGCCAUACGUGGUGUUCCUUCCCUGCUGGAAGUUGCUGGUUUCUCCUACUUCUAUGGGGCCUUCUUGGUAGGGCCCCAGUUCUCAAUGAAUCACUACAUGAAGCUGGUGCAGGGAGAGCUGAUUGACAUACCAGGAAAGAUACCAAACAGGUAAUUGCCCCUCUUGGUCCAGAUGUUUGUGUAGGUAUUUCACUCACUCUGAAGUGACUCUUCUGAAAGCUGCAUUCUCCAGCAUGACCCUGGCAUAGAGACCUGAGUCAUGCAGGCCCUGGACUGUUGUAACAGGCACUCUGUGCCAGGAGUGGGCCCUUUUUAGUUUAGGGUUCUUCCAGUUAUCCAUUCUAACACUAGUACAAACAUAAAAAUCCACAUUUAUGCCACAGGAUUUUGCCUGAACCAGUCACAUUUCUGCCUUUAAAGCCUAUUUUCAUGUAUAUAUGAAAUAUA